UUGAGAAGGGAGGAGCAUGGGCUGUUGUGCAGGUGGAGAGCAGCAAGCAGCCUAGACACAGCAGUGCUGCAGGCAGAGACCUAGAGAGCUAAAGGCAGCUCCUGGUGGGCUGCAGGGAUCUGCAGAUUGAGGCCCUGAGGCAAGGGCAAAGAGGGUGCUGGAGCCACUGACAACAAUGGCUGGACAGUGGGCUGCAGUCCUCCCAGAAUGGGGGGAACAGAGUGUGGCACAGAUGGAGGGCUGUGUCACUGAAGAGGAUGCUGUGGUCCUGGGAGCAAUGUGAGUCCAGGAACAGAGGUGACAGCAUGUGAGACACCACCAGAAGAGACCGCAGCUCUAAUUCCCUGGACUGCCAGCAGCAGGUGCCACAGUGCUGCUACUGCUGGAAAGAAUGGAAUCACCCACCAUGCUGUUAAGAAGAAAUCACAAGAAGCAGUGUGCUGCAGAAGGAUCCCUAAUGUGGGGGCGCAUUAAUGCAUGAUUUUCAGUCCCAACUGAUACAAUUAUCUAUCUGCACUUGCCUGGAGACUGCAUCCACCUCUUCAAACCAGGAACACCCAGCUCAUCCGGUCACAUGGCCAUCUUGGGUACAGCCAGUGGUAAGUAAGCAGGCUACGAUCAAGGAGUAGCCUUGCAUAUACCCAUCCAAACCAUUGAUGCAGCUCAGGUUGAAGUGGUCAGUUUUGUUCAAGGCACUAUAGAAUUUGCACUGCUUUAUAUAUUUAAUUCUGUGUUCAGCAUGGGUCCCUAUCAUGCCAUUGGUUUUAAGCAGAACUGCCCCUCGACUUCAGAGCUGUUAGGACAAUUUCUGAUAUGCCAAUAGCAUUAAAUUAGAUCCAUUUCAAGGUGAUCCGUUCCAUAUGCUUCUGCAGAGCACGCUGUAUUGCUAUUUUUAAGGCACUGUAUUCUAAUGCUGCAUUCUAAUAACAUGCACCAAGGAGACCUGCAGGUCCCAUUAUUACAUUAUAUUAAAAUUCAUUGUAUUGGAUACAUUUACAUUUAGAAAUGUAUUUGCACUGUCAGCCAAACAGCAAGAGCCAUCUAGCAUAAGAUGCUGGGCAUUGUAUUAGCUACAUUGAUUUGUACAUGGAAAAUGCACAAACUGAUGAUACAUUGUAACUAAAAUGCAAUACAAUGUAAAGAAUUGCAGUUUGUCCUCUAUUGUAGUCAUAGUUAGAUUCCAGGUUGAAUUGGGGGAAAAUAGAACUGUUUUCUAAUUUUUCUUGGGACCAUGUACAGUAGAACCUGAGUUACAAACCCUUCAGGAAUGGAGGUUGUUUGUAACUCUGAACAAAAAGUUAUGGUGGUUGUUUCAGAAGCUUACAACUGAACAUUGACUUAAAACAGCUUUUGAAACUUUACCAUGCAGAAGAAAAAUGCUGCUUUUAACCAUCUUAAUUAAAUUAAACAAGCACAGAACAUUUCCUUACCUUGUCAAAUCUUUUUUUAAGCUUUUCCUUUUUUUUAGUAGUGUAUGUUUAACACGGUACUAUAUUUGCCUUUUGGGUUUUGUGGGUUUUUUCCUCUCUCUCUCCCCUCUGCUGCUGCCUGAUUGCACACUUCCAGUUCCAAAUUAGGUGUGUGGCUGAUCAGUCACUUCAUAACUCUGGUGUUCGUAAC